rnacentral:lncRNA from 10 species
GGGGACCCGGGCUUGCGUCGGAGGGGGCGGUGGGCUCACCCAUGGGCCUUUCCAAAAGCAAAGAGAAACCCAGGAAAGGUGAGGAGCAAAAGAAGGGAUCCACCUAUUCAGUUCCAAAAUCUAAGGAGAAGUUGAUGGAGAAGCAUUCCCAGGAAGCCAGGCAGGCAGACAGGGAGUCGGAGAAGCCUGUGGACAGCCUCCACCCGGGGGCCGGGACAGCCAAGCACCCGCCGCCGGCAGCUUCGCUGGAAGGUGUGGUGGCAGGAGCCUGUAGUCCCAGUUGCUCAGGAGGCUGAGGCAGGAGAAUCACUUGAACUCAGGAGGUGGAGGUUGCAGUGAGCCGAGAUCACACCACUGCACUCCAGCCUGGGUGACAGAGCGAGACUCCGUCUCAAAAACUAAGAAGAAGAUUAAUAAUAAACCAGCACUGCCAUUGCCAGCAGUCCAUCCUACCUCGCAUCCAGAGAAACCUGAUGUAAAGCAAAAGUCCAGCAGGAAGAAAGUGGUCGUUCCACAGAUCAUCAUCACGCGAGCGUCGAAUGAGACGCUAGUCAGUUGCAGUUCCAGCGGGAGUGACCAGCAGAGAACCAUUCGGGAGCCGGAGGACUGGGGCCCCUACCGGCGGCACAGGAACCCCAGUACAGCAGACGCCUAUAAUUCACAUCUCAAAGAAUAAACAAGCACCUUUGCAUGGCACUCGCUACUCCCUGCGAUAGGCGUCUCGGGAACAGCCGCCUCACCCUGUGAGAAGCCGAGGCCCCUUCUCCAGUGCUCUCGGGGAGGUUGCACCAGGCCCACCCCACCCUGUGAGAAACUGCAGCCCCCUUCUCCAGUGCUUUCGGGGAGGGUGCACCAGGCCCGCCCCACCUUGUGAGAAGCCGUGGCCCCCUUCUCCAGUGCUCUCAGGGAGGGUGCACCAGGCCUGCCCCCGCCGUGAGAAACUGCAGUCCCCUUCUCCAGUGCUCUCGGGGAGGGUGCACCAGGCCCACCCCACCCUGUGAGAACCUGCAGCCCCCUUCUCCAAUGCUCUCGGGGAGGGUACACCAGGGUUGCCCCACCCUGUGAGAAGCCACCGCCCCCUUCUCCAGUGCUCUCGGGGAGGGUGCACCAGGGCUGCCCCACGCUGUAAGAAGCCGCCGCCCCCUUCUCCAGUGCUCUCCAGCCCGCCCCACCCUGUGAGAAGCCAUGGCCCCUUCUCCAGUGCUUUUGGGGAGGGUGCACCAGGGCCACCCCACCCUGUGAGAAGCCGUGGCCCCCUUCUCCAGUGCUUUCGGGGAGGGUACACCAGGCCCGCCCCACCCUGUGAGAAGCCGUGGCCCCCUUCUCCCGUGCUCUCAGGGAGGGUGCACCAGGCCUGCCCCCGCCUUGAGAAACUGCAGCCCCCUUCUCCAGUGCUCUGGGGGAGGGUGCACCAGGCCUGCCCACCCUGUGAGAAACUGCACCCCCUUCUCCAGUGCUCUCGGGGAGGGUGCACCAGGCCCGCCCCACCCUGUGAGAAGCCGCAGCCCGUUCUCCAUUGCCAUUUGGUCCUGCCUUCCCCAGAGCUGCUAGCAGCUCGGUCGAGGCAAGAGUGACUGGCUCAGAGAGCGAGCUUUGUGGUAUUGAUAAAUGAAUAAAUUAGUAUGUUCAUGUUGGAAGUGGCUGGCUCUGCAGAGUGAUGGACAGCAGGUGGCAUCUUACAUUGUGAUUUGUGGUGCACAGUUAAAACACUUCCCUUCGUUUCAGAAGGAGACAAUGUGAAUACUUGGAAAUUAUAGUGAAUAAGAUGCCUCCCAAACUUGAGGAAAAGGUCAGAUUCUAAGAGCUAAACGUUAAGAUGUAAUGUUCCAGAACAAAGAGGCCCAGAGUCACUGAACGGGGCCCCAGGGCUCCUAGCUUGAGUGUAAUCUGAGUCAGCUUAUGAAAAGGCCCCAAAGAAGAAAGUGGAAUGUGUGCUGGGCACAUGGGACAGCCAUGGCACUGAGACUUUGGAAGUGGCCUUGCCAGCGCUGUCCUGUCUUUCUGGCCCACAGAUGAGGGCUCCUGAUUGUGGAAGGCCACGGAAGGGACCUGAACACGAUGGCACGAGACAAGUUAUCUCCUGUGACUGCUCCUCUCCAGCAACCCUCAGCUCAGGCUAGACUUUCCCCCUGUGUUGAGAAUGCCCUGCCCUGUGUGGAAGCCUGAUGCAUUUAGUGACAGUGUGUUAGCUUUGUUAGUUUCUAGUCUGGCCAGCAGGCUUUCCAUGUGAUCUGCCAUUGGCUUGCUUCAGUGGCCAGUGGAGCCAGGGGUGUCCACCAGAGUCUUGGACACAGACUUCUGAGGUGGCAGCGGGAGGGAGCCUGCUCCCUGCCACACACGUACAAUUUCUAAUCCAUACAGGCCUAUGUAGUAUAUACACACAUACGCAGAGCCUUAGGAAUUGUGAAAGGCCAAUCAAAACUUGGGGCCCUAAUUUCACUCUGCC